rnacentral:rRNA from 1 species
UACGUAGGGGGCAAGCGUUGUCCGGAUUUAUUGGGCGUAAAGAGCGUGUAGGCGGCCGCACAGGUCCGUUGUGAAAACUGGAGGCUUAACCUUCAGACGUCGAUGGAAACCGUGCGGCUAGAGUCCGGAAGAGGAGAGUGGAAUUCCUGGUGUAGCGGUGAAAUGCGCAGAUAUCAGGAAGAACACCCGUGGCGAAGGCGGCUCUCGUGGGCCAUUACUGACGCUGAGGAGCGAAAGCGUGGGGAGCGAACAGG